UUGUGUAGUAGCACAUGUGAGAUCGUCGGUCGUCGUCGUCGUCGCAUUCGUCGCGGUAGUCGUCGUCCUUAGUUGUGUUUCCGAGGCGUUUUCGAGUACGUGCGUUCCAACCGUGCGUACACUCCGACUGUUUAAGGCAUUUAAGAAAAAUUGUCAACGGUCAACGAUCAGCGAACAUCAACGACAAUCGGCGUAACAGGUUUAUGGAUGUACGUGACAUUUUUUUCGGUCGUUUUCCAACUUUUAAAUUAGCCUGUCCUUCCGCUCUUCUUUGGCUUUGGUCAUGCGCUUGAGAAGUGGUUGGAGCCUUCUUCCUUAUGGGCGCAAGAAUAGCAACAUCAGCAGUCAGUUUGCCAGUAAAAACACGGUUGCAGCUUCCCUUCAGUGAGAUGAUUUAACGCAUGGAUGGAGAUUUCAAUGAAGACAACGACGACGGAGCCCCUAACGUUGUUGCUUUUGAGGUCCGAAGCUUUGGCUUUUCUGUGUCGGAACGACACGGGACGUGCUCAAUAAAUGGUGCUAAGUGGUGAAGUGGGACCAAGUUGUCCGUAAACGAAGCAAGGGGAGUGACCAAUGUACGUGAGGGUGAUAAAUAAAAGUGCAAACGUUCAAGAACUGCGUGAAAUUGGAAGAUUAUAAAAAAUCAACCUUGUAAUAAAAUAACCAUGAGUGGGUGAUCAAGUGAGGAGACUCGCCGUACCGCGCGCGCCGGUGGACUCUGGUAGUGAUCGAAAUACGAUCGAAGCGCGCGGAGUUUUCUGGCAGUCGGUGUUGAGCCGCAUUCUCGUUCCCAAGAGCGUACUUCUGGGAGUGCAGUGCAACUGCAUGGGAGCGUGUUUGCUUCGCGGUGCAUUUCUUACGCGUUCGGGCUAUGUGUGUUGGUGCUCUGGUUUUGGUUUCGCGAGUUCCAGCAACGGCGAUCGACUGUGCUUUGUGGGGGCUAACUAUGGGAAGAAAGGUGCAUCGCCAAUAAGCGUGAAAAGUCAACUGGAAAGAGUGGAAAAGUGCAACGAAGCUUUACAACAGGAAGAGCUAUAGGAAUGAGAUGUAUGGCCUUUGAUUUGUGUUAUUACGGCGUAUUUGUCUGUGUUCGGGUAUUCCGAGGGGUUACCAAGCAAGUGAAGGUUUGGAUCCGAGUGGAUUGGUGGUGAAAAGGCAGCGAGAGUGGUGACCCCCCGAGGGGAUUGGGGAAACGAUAUUUUAUAAACAAAAACCUUCGCGCGAAAGCAGAGCCGAUAGAUUACAUUCGGUGGAGCGAUCCGUUGAUUGGUUGGGCGAUGUUUUGCCUAAUGAACGGGUCAUUGACAGUGGAUUAGAGCGGCAUCAUCAGAGGGAGAGUCGCAAGUCAAAGGCAGAGAAACAGCAGAGAAAAAAAACCGAUCGAAUUGGAGGAAACCAGCCAGCCGUUUCUGAUCUGGGACUUAUCGAAGCCUGCGGUUAGGAGCUACGAGUUCCAUUGGAAUUUCGGCGUCAGAUAAUGCCAACACCGUGCUAAAAGCCAAUAUUCGACAAAUUGCAUAUUAAAGUAAGUAUU